AUUGAACGCUGGCGGCACGCCUAACACAUGCAAGUCGAGCGGCAGCGAGACUAGUAGCAAUACUAGUUGUCGGCGAGCGGCGGACGGGUGAGUAACACGUAGGAAUCUGCCCUUAAGCGGGGGAUAACCAAGGGAAACUUUGGCUAAUACCGCAUAAUCUCGAGAGAGCAAAGCUGCCCGCAAGGGUGGCACUUUUGGAUGAGCCUGCGUCCGAUUAGCUAGUUGGUGGGGUAAUGGCCUACCAAGGCGAUGAUCGGUAACUGGUCUGAGAGGACGACCAGUCACACUGGGACUGAGACACGGCCCAGACUCCUACGGGAGGCAGCAGUGGGGAAUAUUGGACAAUGGGGGCAACCCUGAUCCAGCGAUGCCGCGUGAGUGAAGAAGGCCUUCGGGUCGUAAAGCUCUUUAGGUUGGGAAGAAGGGUAUUGGCUGAAUAAUCCAGUACUUUGACGGUACCGACGGAAUAAGCACCGGCAAACUCUGUGCCAGCCGCCGCGGUAAUAC
rnacentral:rRNA from 1 species